UAUUUGCUAAAACCAUUCAGCAUGUUAUAUUUAAAUAUUUACAAUUAAAUAUAAUGUGUUAAGGGUGCUGUGUAUUAUUCAAUAAAUAUUUUGGUGUUGAAAUGACUGCCUUAUCAGUAUUUCUCAAAUUAUGCAAUUUUUGGCUUAGACACAGCAUGGUAUCAGAUAAGAGAAUAGCCAGUCCUUAUCAGUCCUCCAUCUAAGCCUUACUAAGGGGUGUUGAUAUACUUUUGAUUUGUUCAGGCACCAUCUAUUUGAGAACCACAGAUAGGAAGUUAUUUUUUGAAAACAAGCAGCAUCAGCAACUGACUUUAAGCUAGAAUUAAGACUUAUUAUUCUAGUGUAAAAUGUCUUGAAAUACUUUCAGCAUGAAGUAUUGUGUGAUGAAAAAAAUGUGUAUUUACUACAAUGUGUAAAUCAACAAUAAAGGAGAUUAAAAGUGGGUGGUUAAAGACAUAUAAAGUGAUAUGGUCUAGUUCAACAACUGCCUGUAUUUUUGGAAUACUGAAGAACAGUCUGUUGUAACAGGUUAAACCCCAUGGAAAGAAUGUGCAUCAUCGCAUCGCCUGCCAAAAAAGGAAGCAAAAGAGAGACUACCUGAUGUAUGGACUUGAAUACCAGGUUUUACCCUGCACAAGCUGGCCGACAUGAGUAGAACAGGAGUGGGAAAACCGCGCCCUCUCCUUGACCAAGAAAAGCUGGAUUUGUUUAGAGGACCUGAUCAAAUGAGAUCAUGCACGUGACGCAUCGCGCACAGGCCAUGACAGUAUAAUAGUUGCAAAGAAGUUUGACCGGCUGGUGGCAGACUUGGAGAGAAAGAUGAGAGCUGCACUCCGCUGCCUCAAAGAAACGUGAAAGGCCUUGAUUGAUAUGCAUCUUUCUUAUGUAUAUAGCUGUUCGUGUGUAUAUUCUGUACAUGUUAUUAUAGUAUGCUAUUAUUUUUUGUUUAUUUAUAAUCAAAUUAUGUUUAUAUUUAUUUCAUCAAAUUGCCAUUGAUAUUUAAUUACUCAUGUAUGUUAAAAAUGUUGGUGUACAUUAAAGUAUAAAAUUGAAUUAUCUUGUAAUUAUUAAAAUACACAAAUAUAUAUGUUUAUAUAAUUAUUGGUUUUUAUUGCAUAUCUGAAUUAAAAAAACUUUUAACAGCAUAUAAUUGAAUCAACUGUUAAGGCAAAAGAUGCACCUUUAACGCACAUGUGUGCUUUUUGUGAGUGCGUCUUUUGCUGCCAUUCAUGUGCGUAAAUUGUGCGUUUUGUGUGGGUUAUAACUGCGCUUAACGUGCG